rnacentral:misc_RNA from 1 species
CGCCUCCCACAUAGCAAAAUGUAUGUAAUAACACCAAUACUCCAGACAUCAGAUUCAGGUCCGGACCUGCGCUUUAAUACUUCAGGGGCUACAUAGUAGGCACUGCCAACAAUGUCCUGAAACUUCUUGCCUGGUUUAAUGAAGUCUGAUAGGCCAAAAUCUGUUGCCUUCAGAGGUGAGUUCUCCUUGGUUGACUUGAAAAGAAAAUUCUCUGGUUUCAUGUCACGGUGUACCAAACCAUGUAAAUGGCACUCAGCUGCAACUUUGAGCAUCUGUCGUACAACUACUGCUGCAUCUUUCUCAGAAUAACGACUAUCCUUCUUUGCUAAUAUGCGAUCCAGCAAUUCACCACCCUCACAUAACUCCAUUACUAUAUAUACAUAAGAAUCAUCCUCAAAUGCGUCAUAAAACUGAACUACAUUCUCAUG